rnacentral:rRNA from 1 species
GACGUAGGGCGCGAGCGUGGUCCGGAUUUAUUGGGCGUAAAGAGCUCGUAGGCGGCUUGUUGCGUCGGCUGUGAAAACCCAUGGCUCAACCGUGGGCUUGCAGCCGAUACGGGCAGGCUAGAGUUCGGUAGGGGAGACUGGAAUUCCUGGUGUAGCGGUGAAAUGCGCAGAUAUCAGGAGGAACACCGGUGGCGAAGGCGGGUCUCUGGGCCGAUACUGACGCUGAGGAGCGAAAGCGUGGGGAGCGAACAGG